AUAGCACUGCCACGACUCCAAGUGAAAUUAUUUAAUAAAAAAAUAUAUAUGAGUAGCUUUAAAUUUUCGGUGGCAUGCUGCCGAAAAUUUAAAGCUAUAUAUAUAUUUUUUUAUCAAAUAAUUUCACUUGGAGUCGUGGCAGUGCUAU